CCCCCAGCCCCGAGCCCCCCAGUGUGAUGUUAGGAAAGCCGGAGCCCCCGCAGGGUCGGGCGGUGUGCUGGACUGGAAUGGGGGGAUCCGCAGAGCGGGUCCGGCCCCGUGCGGGGACCCCAGCGGGGGCGGGGGCGCCGGGCUCCGGCCCUCUGGGCUUUAUUAUUGCCCGGCACCCCGAGCCCCGCGGCUGCGAGGAAAGAGAGAGAGCAGGCGAUGGAGACUGGACAUACGGGGGGGAGAGAGGCUAGUCGAGGUGGGGGUGACAAGGACAGAGGGCAGGUGGGGAGAAGCCGGACUGUGCAGGGCAGCAGGGGAACGGGGCUGGGGGGAAGGCAGGGUGGAGGAAGGAUAGAAGGCAGGUUGAGGGGAUGGAGAGGGAAGUUGUCGGGGGGAAGGUAUCCUGGAAAGGGGGCACAUGGAGCCAAGGUGGGGAAAGAAGAGUGGAGGAAGGAAAAGGACUGAAGGCAGUUGGGGGGAGACUCGGGGGGGGGAAGGGGAGCAGGGAGAGAGGGCAGAGAGGAGCCCGUUUGGGGACGGAAGGGAGGAAGCAAGAGGAAGAGGAUGGAGGUGUAGGGUAGGGGUGAGUAGGGGAAUUGGUGUGGGGGUAGGGGGGAGAGGGAGGGGGGGGUUUGGGGAGGAAAGAAGAGUAGAAAGGAGAGGUAUAGAGAAAAAGAAAUACAAAAGAAAAGAAACGCAGUAGAAAACUAUUGGGAAAAAGAAAUAGAGCCCAGCCAGUCACAGCCUCACUCACCAAGCGCCGAGCAAAUGGCCUUCUCCCUGCGGUUUAAAUCCCCCAAGGCCCCGCCCCGCGCAGCCGCUCUGUGCCUCGCACACCUGUGCUGGCCCCGCCCGCCACACCUGUGCCGGCCCCGCCCCGUCCGCAAAUCCCGGCGGAUCCGCGCCCGCCCCGCUUUGUGCGGUGGAUGCUUGUCUCGGCAUGUGGCGGGACCGUCGCUCGGUGCUGUGCAGAAACUCGGACCGGGGGCUGCUCCCGGCGCUGUGCAGAGUCCAAGGCGCUCAGGUGGGGCCGGGACCAGGAUCUGGGCCCGGGGAUUCGGAUCCUGGUCCUGCCGGUGUCUAUUGUGGAAGCUGGGCAGAGCCGCUUCUUCCUCGGCGGGCGGUGUGUGAGUCCUGGGGCCGGACGAUCGAGGCGGGACUGAGGCUGGGAUCGGGACCGGCAUCGCCGCGGGCGGGAAGAGCCGCUCUGGAACGGGCUCUAGAACCGAGCCCGGUGCUGCCGCUCCUGCUCCGGCCGGCAUGGGGCUCCGAGGCUGCGGGGAGCCGGGGCUGUGCCGGUGCCGGGCCCGCCAGGACGGCGCUUUUCCCUGGAACAGCCGCUAGAUCGCGGCUGGAAGCGGGCGGGGCACGGGACCCACCUGCGCCGGCCCCGGGACCCUACGCGCCCCGAGGGGCACCCCCUGGCGGACACGGCGCCGACCCGCAGCCCCCGCGGGGACACCGAGCCCCCCACGGGCCCCAGAGGCCACCGCACCCCCGGGGGACGCAGCGGAAGGAACGGGGCUGGAUCAUCGCGGGCAGAGGGAACUGUUCGCCUCUGCCGCUCUCGACUGCGCCCGGGGUAAGACCGGGGCACUGCUCGGGCCGCUCAUCCGACAUCUGCCGUGUGAGACCCGAUGCUCUCCUUCCUCUCCCCCACUUUCUCUGUGGCUCGAACCCAAGUUCGGGGGGAGAAGGAUGGGGAGGAAGGGGCAGAAAGAAAAAGAAUGCGAGAGAAGGAAGGAGGGCUAGGUGGGCAGGGCGCUUUUGGGGGGCAGAAGGAUAGGGGAUAAGGAAGAGGAAUACGGGGAGGAGAAAGGAGUGGUAGCGGGGGGAGAGAGGAGCGGUGGUUUUUGGGGGGCCGAGGAUAGGGGGUGAAGUGGGGAAGAAAAAGGGGAAUACAGGGAGAAGGAAGGAGGGCUACGUGGCAGGGGGGAAGGAGGGGAGGUUUUGGGGGCAGAGGGAAGGGGGAAAAAGAAGAGAAAUUCGGGAAGAAAGGAGAGGGAGAGGUGGGGAAGCCGAAGCCCCCACGACUCACCUGGGAAGCCGGGACAAGGAGCUCCUACUCUCACCGCGCUCAUAGUGAGCAAAUGGCCGACGGGCGAUUUCUGGGGGUUAAAUCACCUCGGCCCCGCCCCGCGCACCUGUGUCGGGCCCGCUCCUGAAGCCGCCUGGCCCGGCCCCCGAUGUCGCCCGGGCCCUGCCUCCCGGGACACUCCGGGGUUCCACGUUAGAAUCAGCUGUGCAUUAUGAACAGGUUAGUGGGAAUACCUGGAUUUAUCUCUUCUAUCCCCAGAGCCAAGCAGGCAGUCCGGUAUUCCUGUCUACUCUGACGCCAGCCACUGUAUUGCGUUCCAACUCGCUCCUCAGAUGGAAAAGGUCAGGCAGGAAUGUCAGGAAGCAUAUUUAAUAGAGAAGGAAUCUUGAACUGCACUCAAGUACUGUCCUAAUCAUCCUCAGGACUAGGACCAUAACUGCUGAAUGCUACUGGCAGUGAGGCUUCUUCCCAGCUGGGUGAUGCUGUAUCCCAGGCUCUGCAGCGUGGCUGGAUGCAGCGAUCCCUGAUGCUCUUGUGCAGUACAAAGGACAGGAAUUGCAGCAGAGUCAAUUAUUUCUGGAAGCUGCCCCAGCUGAAUGACUCUCAGGCAAGCCAAGUGCUGGCUCCCAGGAAGCAGCAGGGUACCUGCAUGAUGGGCCG